GUGGCGCACGGUGCGUAACGCGUAUACAAUCUACCUUUUGCUGAGGGAUAGCCCAGAGAAAUUUGGAUUAAUACCUCAUGGUAUUAUUGAUAGGCAUCUAUUAAUAAUUAAAGGUUACGGCAAAAGAUGAGUAUGCGUCCCAUUAGCUAGUUGGUGAAGUAACGGUUCACCAAGGCAACGAUGGGUAGGGGUCCUGAGAGGGUGAUCGGCCACAAUGGAACUGAGACACGGUCCAUACUCC
rnacentral:rRNA from 1 species